GGUCAUGAGUACCAGCAUCAAGCCCCGGCUCGCUGGUCGGCAACCCUCCUCCGCGGUGGGGUGCUCCGGGUGACGACCUGGCUGCGGCUCAGCAGAGCCCGGCAAGCGCGGACU
rnacentral:ncRNA from 1 species